rnacentral:rRNA from 1 species
AUGCUGGAGGUAUCAGAAGUGCGAAUGCUGACAUAAGUAACGAUAAAGCGGGUGAAAAGCCCGCUCGCCGGAAGACCAAGGGUUCCUGUCCAACGUUAAUCGGGGCAGGGUGAGUCGACCCCUAAGGCGAGGCCGAAAGGCGUAGUCGAUGGGAAACAGGUUAAUAUUCCUGUACUUGGUGUUACUGCGAAGGGGGGACGGAGAAGGCUAUGUUGGCCGGGCGACGGUUGUCCCGGUUUAAGCGUGUAGGCUGGUUUUCCAGGCAAAUCCGGAAAAUCAAGGCUGAGGCGUGAUGACGAGGCACUACGGUGCUGAAGCAACAAAUGCCCUGCUUCCAGGAAAAGCCUCUAAGCAUCAGGUAACAUCAAAUCGUACCCCAAACCGACACAGGUGGUCAGGUAGAGAAUACCAAGGCGCUUGAGAGAACUCGGGUGAAGGAACUAGGCAAAAUGGUGCCGUAACUUCGGGAGAAGGCACGCUGAUAUGUAGGUGAAGUCCCUCGCGGAUGGAGCUGAAAUCAGUCGAAGAUACCAGCUGGCUGCAACUGUUUAUUAAAAACACAGCACUGUGCAAACACGAAAGUGGACGUAUACGGUGUGACGCCUGCCCGGUGCCGGAAGGUUAAUUGAUGGGGUCAGCGCAAGCGAAGCUCUUGAUCGAAGCCCCGGUAAACGGCGGCCGUAACUAUAACGGUCCUAAGGUAGCGAAAUUCCUUGUCGGGUAAGUUCCGACCUGCACGAAUGGCGUAAUGAUGGCCAGGCUGUCUCCACCCGAGACUCAGUGAAAUUGAACUCGCUGUGAAGAUGCAGUGUACCCGCGGCAAGACGGAAAGACCCCGUGAACCUUUACUAUAGCUUGACACUGAACAUUGAGCCUUGAUGUGUAGGAUAGGUGGGAGGCUUAGAAGUGUGGACGCCAGUCUGCAUGGAGCCGACCUUGAAAUACCACCCUUUAAUGUUUGAUGUUCUAACGUGGACCCGUGAUCCGGGUUGCGGACAGUGUCUGGUGGGUAGUUUGACUGGGGCGGUCUCCUCCUAAAGAGUAACGGAGGAGCACGAAGGUUGGCUAAUCCUGGUCGGACAUCAGGAGGUUAGUGCAAUGGCAUAAGCCAGCUUGACUGCGAGCGUGACGGCGCGAGCAGGUGCGAAAGCAGGUCAUAGUGAUCCGGUGGUUCUGAAUGGAAGGGCCAUCGCUCAACGGAUAAAAGGUACUCCGGGGAUAACAGGCUGAUACCGCCCAAGAGUUCAUAUCGACGGCGGUGUUUGGCACCUCGAUGUCGGCUCAUCACAUCCUGGGGCUGAAGUAGGUCCCAAGGGUAUGGCUGUUCGCCAUUUAAAGUGGUACGCGAGCUGGGUUUAGAACGUCGUGAGACAGUUCGGUCCCUAUCUGCCGUGGGCGCUGGAGAACUGAGGGGGGCUGCUCCUAGUACGAGAGGACCGGAGUGGACGCAUCACUGGUGUUCGGGUUGUCAUGCCAAUGGCACUGCCCGGUAGCUAAAUGCGGAAGAGAUAAGUGCUGAAAGCAUCUAAGCACGAAACUUGCCCCGAGAUGAGUUCU